GACGAGGGAUCCUAGCGUUGUUCGGAAUCAUUGGGCGUAAAGCGUAUGUAGGCGGCUUAAUAAGUCAGGUGUGAAAGCCCCGGGCUCAACCCGGGAAGUGCAUUUGAUACUGUUAAGCUUGAAUAUUGGAGAGGGUAGUAGAAUUCCUGGUGUAGUGGUGAAAUACGUAGAUAUCAGGAGGAAUACCGGUGGCGAAGGCGGCUACCUGGCCAUAUAUUGACGCUGAGAUACGAAAGCGUGGGGAUCAAACAGG
rnacentral:rRNA from 1 species